rnacentral:lncRNA from 1 species
AAAACAUUUGGGGACACCAAAUUCACUUUAAAAUGACUAUUAAAAAUCUUGUUCUUUUUUCCCUUUAUACCUUAAAUCUUACAGCCCAAACAUAACAAUUACAUAAACUAAUUAAAGACUAGCAUGAACCCGAAAAGGAGGCUCAAAUCAGCUGCUUUGCCUAAGGUUCUAAGCUUGUUUGACGGCAAGAACAAGACAGGCAUCUACAAUUGCCUUUCAGCCGAAAAGAAGACAUUUGAACAGACAAAAAAUGGAUGACAAAGAUAUAAUCUUUUACACAAGAUUUCCAUCCUUUGCCCCGACAUUCUCCGAAACAUAAGGGGAUUCAAAGAGGCUAGUGGGUGCACAUUAACUUUUUUUCUUUCUGGGGAAAAAAAAGGCCAUGUGAAAACGAUGUAAGAAAGCAAUGCAAAGUGGAAUGCAUGGGGUACUAUUAUGUGACCAUGAAAACAAGGCAUGGAUAUGGAAGAGGGGCGAUGAAGAUUUGUUUGUGAAAUUUGGUGAUUUUUCUUAGGGUCCCAUGUUACCUUCGACUUGUUAGGAGAUUUUCACUGAAGAAGGACAUAUACUUGAUCGAAUGCAUGCAUGCGAUUGGCAGUGGACUUCUCGAUGGUAGACUUUUGGUAGCUUUCAUUGUCGGCCAGAAUAAGCUAAACACAAAACCCACCACGUGCUCCGCCUUGUUUCUGGUGUUUCUUAAUCAUUGAGACGUUCAACACUGGCAUGCAGCAAGCCAAGCUAGCACACAGGAAAAAGAAACACCACUUCGCACCAGAUCGAUGACAACGAACCUAGAGCAUUUGGGACGCUACUGGACUUAAAAACAAACUUGGAAAGUCAAGCCUGCGUUCUUUGUUUUUCUAUUCAGAACGUAAUUUCAAC